AGAGUUUGAUCCUGGCUCAGAUUGAACGCUGGCGGCAGGCCUAACACAUGCAAGUCGAGCGGUAGCACAGAGAGCUUGCUCUCGGGUGACGAGCGGCGGACGGGUGAGUAAUGUCUGGGAAACUGCCUGAUGGAGGGGGAUAACUACUGGAAACGGUAGCUAAUACCGCAUAACGUCGCAAGACCAAAGUGGGGGACCUUCGGGCCUCAUGCCAUCAGAUGUGCCCAGAUGGGAUUAGCUAGUAGGUGGGGUAAUGGCUCACCUAGGCGACGAUCCCUAGCUGGUCUGAGAGGAUGACCAGCCACACUGGAACUGAGACACGGUCCAGACUCCUACGGGAGGCAGCAGUGGGGAAUAUUGCACAAUGGGCGCAAGCCUGAUGCAGCCAUGCCGCGUGUAUGAAGAAGGCCUUCGGGUUGUAAAGUACUUUCAGCGAGGAGGAAGGCAUUAAGGUUAAUAACCUUGAUGAUUGACGUUACUCGCAGAAGAAGCACCGGCUAACUCCGUGCCAGCAGCCGCGGUAAUACGGAGGGUGCAAGCGUUAAUCGGAAUUACUGGGCGUAAAGCGCACGCAGGCGGUCUGUCAAGUCGGAUGUGAAAUCCCCGGGCUCAACCUGGGAACUGCAUUCGAAACUGGCAGGCUAGAGUCUUGUAGAGGGGGGUAGAAUUCCAGGUGUAGCGGUGAAAUGCGUAGAGAUCUGGAGGAAUACCGGUGGCGAAGGCGGCCCCCUGGACAAAGACUGACGCUCAGGUGCGAAAGCGUGGGGAGCAAACAGGAUUAGAUACCCUGGUAGUCCACGCCGUAAACGAUGUCGACUUGGAGGUUGUGCCCUUGAGGCGUGGCUUCCGGAGCUAACGCGUUAAGUCGACCGCCUGGGGAGUACGGCCGCAAGGUUAAAACUCAAAUGAAUUGACGGGGGCCCGCACAAGCGGUGGAGCAUGUGGUUUAAUUCGAUGCAACGCGAAGAACCUUACCUACUCUUGACAUCCAGGGAACUUAGCAGAGAUGCUUUGGUGCCUUCGGGAACUCUGAGACAGGUGCUGCAUGGCUGUCGUCAGCUCGUGUUGUGAAAUGUUGGGUUAAGUCCCGCAACGAGCGCAACCCUUAUCCUUUGUUGCCAGCGGUCCGGCCGGGAACUCAAAGGAGACUGCCAGUGAUAAACUGGAGGAAGGUGGGGAUGACGUCAAGUCAUCAUGGCCCUUACGAGUAGGGCUACACACGUGCUACAAUGGCAUAUACAAAGAGAAGCGACCUCGCGAGAGCAAGCGGACCUCAUAAAGUAUGUCGUAGUCCGGAUUGGAGUCUGCAACUCGACUCCAUGAAGUCGGAAUCGCUAGUAAUCGUAGAUCAGAAUGCUACGGUGAAUACGUUCCCGGGCCUUGUACACACCGCCCGUCACACCAUGGGAGUGGGUUGCAAAAGAAGUAGGUAGCUUAACCUUCGGGAGGGCGCUUACCACUUUGUGAUUCAUGACUGGGGUGAAGUCGUAACAAGGUAGCC
rnacentral:rRNA from 1 species